CCCUUAGAUGUUCUGGGCUGCACGCGCGCUACACUGAAGCGUUCAACGAGUAUUCACCUUGCCCGGGAGGGUUGGGUAAUCUUUUUAAAACGCUUCGUGAUGGGGAUAGAUUAUUGCAAUUAUUAAUCUUCAACGAGGAAUUCCUAGUAAGCGCGAGUCAUCAGCUCGUGCUGAUUACGUCCCUGCCCUUUGUACACACCGCCCGUCGCUCCUACCGAUUGAGUGCUCAGGUGAAUAAUUCGGACUGCAGCAGUGUUUGGAUCCCGAACGCUGCAGCGGAAAGUUUAGUGAACCUUAUCACUUAGAGGAAGGAGAAGUCGUAACA
rnacentral:rRNA from 1 species